rnacentral:rRNA from 1 species
UACAGAGGUCUCAACCGUUGUUCGGAUUCAUUGGGCGUAAAGGGUGCGUAGGCGGUCGUGCAAGUCGGAUGUGAAAUCUCAGGGCUCAACCCUGAAACUGCAUUCGAUACUGCGUGGCUAGAGUGCUGGAGAGGAGACUGGAAUUUACGGUAUAGCAGUGAAAUGCGUAGAUAUCGUAAGGAAGACCAGUGGCGAAGGCGAGUCUCUGGACAGCAACUGACGCUGAGGCACGAAGGCCAGGGGAGCAAACGGG